rnacentral:tRNA from 1 species
CCUUCAAUAACUCAGCUGGUAGAGCAGAGGACUAUAGAUCUGAUGCAUGUGGGCCUCCUUAGGUCACUGGUCCUACUCAUGCUUGAAGGA